AGCACACACGUAUACCAUGAACAGCACAGAGCUAUAUUCCCACAUGCCUGAUAUUUGAACUACAAUAUGUCAAAACAGAUUUAGAGAAGAAGGUGUUGGCUGAUAGAUGGCAUUUAUACAUUUUAAGUAAAGAUGGAAAUUUCAGUCACAAUGGCAGAAUGAUAAGAGACUAUAAGGAAGAAAACUGAGCAAGAUUAUAUGGGAUUGAACCCAGGGCCUUGUGCAUGUGAGGCAAGCACUCUACCAACUGAGCUAUCUCCCCAGACCUUUAAAAAAAAAAAGAAAAAAGAAGUGGUAUUGUUCUAUGUAUCUGUCCAUUCAACUCAAGACUUACAACGGUUCUACCAUCUUCAACAUGUGAUUUCCAGAUAGCUUGGGUACUCAGUCUCUAAAAGAAAAAAUACUUGAGAAGACUACAUCUCAGUCUGCAAAAUGUGCCCAAUAAGUUCACUACCAUUUGAUAGCCAGAAUCAGUGACCAUAUCUAACUAAAAUAUGGACUGAGAUAAUCUCUGUGAAACCAAGAACAAAAUAA